UCGAAGCCAUAUCACCCGGCAGCCCAAGACCGCUUACUUACUAAAGCUAAGCAGGGCUGAGCCUGGUCAGUACCUAGAUGGGAAACCACAUGAGAAAACUAGGUUACUGUUGGAG
ensembl:rRNA 5S_rRNA 5S ribosomal RNA